rnacentral:rRNA from 2 species
ANNGGGAGCUAUUGUGCAAGUCGUAAAAGGUAACCUCUCGAGUUUUUGGGCCGCAGUCUUUUUUGGAUUCUGAGGAGAGAGAAGGGUGAGUAACACAUGCGUUACGAGCGCCGUGGCGGGGGAUAACCUAUGGAAACUAGAGCUAGUAACGCGUAAAUAUUUGGAACCGCAUGGUUCCAAGUUGAAAGAUGGCUCUGCUAUCGCUUUGGGAUGGACCCGCGCCGUAUUAGGUAGUUGGUGAGAUAAAAGCCCACCAAGACGAUGAUACGUAGCCGACCUGAGAGGGCAAUCGGCCACAUUGGGACUGAGACACGGCCCAGACUCCUACGGGAGGCAGCAGUAGGGAAUCUUCCACAAUGGACGAAAGUCUGAUGGAGCAACGCCGCGUGAGUGAUGAAGGUUUUCGGAUCGUAUAACUCUGUUGUUAAAGAAGAACAAGUGUUAGAGUAACUGUUAACACUUUGACGGUAUUUAACCAGAAAGCCACGGCUAACUACUUGCCAGCAGCCGCGGUAAUACGUAGGUGGCAAGCGUUGUCCGGAUUUAUUGGGCGUAAAGCGAGCGCAGGCGGUUUUGUAAGUCUGCUGUGAAAGCCCUCCCUUAACUGAGGAAGUGCAGUGGAAACUACAAAACUUGAGUACAAAAGAGGAAAGUGGAACUCCAUGUGUAGCGGAGAAAUGCGUAGAUAUAUGGAAGAACACCAGUGCCGAACGCGGCUUUCUAGUCUGUUACUGACGCUGAGGCUCGGAAGCAUGGAUAGCGAACAGGAUUAGAUACCCUGGUAGUCCAUGCCGUAAACGAUGAAUACUAGGUGUUGGAGGGUUUCCGCCCUUCAUUGCACAGCUUAACGCAUUAAGUAUGCCGCCUGGAGAGUACGACCGCAAAGGUUGAAACUAAAAAGAAUUUGACGGGGGGCCCCGCACCAAGUGGGUGGGAGCAUGAGGUUUAAUUUCGAAUGCUAACGCCAAAAAAACCUUACCCAGCCUCCUUGGACAUCAUUCUGCCCAACCCAGAGAGGAAUGGGGGUGUUCGCCCUUUCGGGGAUAUACGAAGACUGCCAGGGUGGGGGGGCAUGGGCUUGGUCCGUUCAGGCCUC